rnacentral:lncRNA from 1 species
AAAAUUCAAAAUCUAGAAUUGCACAAUUGCCCAAAUAUCUACUGAAGCAAAUAAUCCACCCCCAUUACGAUCUUGUAGAAAUCCUCCAGCAGUAGCGAACGCGUCUUCUGCUCUAACAACGCCAUCCAUAUUCAAACGUAUCCAACUGUUUUGUAAGGAAGGGUCAUACUCGUCCUUGAAGAUUUAUGAAUGCGAGAAUU